GCCAGCAGCAAUAUCACCCUGCAACUCACAACUGGCAACCCCUGAAGCUAAGCAGGUGUGAGCCUGGUCAGUACCUGGAUGGGAGACCUCCUGGGAAAAACUAAGGUUGCCUCUGGAA
rnacentral:rRNA from 1 species